rnacentral:sRNA from 1 species
GGGUUUGCUGCUCGUCGCCCGACGCAUUGCAGCGCUUUUCGAACAUGUGCUCGUACACCUUUCCGUCCGCGAAGCUGCAGUUGCACAGCCCCGCAUUAAAUCGAUAAGGCGCUUACAACAGUGUUGCUUAAAAUGCCAAAAAUUUAGCACACAUGCGCGGCAAGCUGGUCACACUUGUCGAUGAAUCGCAUUAAAUUUCGAUAGCAAGCAGCGCACACAUCGAUAGUCUAAAUAGAAAAUAUAACAUUGCCAAUUCGAUUGCGGAGUUCUACGGUAAAGUGCCGGAACAAUUGCGCGUGGUUACUGACGCCUGCCAAUUAAUUCAUUAAUAAUACAAAUUAAACAACAAUCGAGUGUUUGCGAACGUGUGUAUUGCCAACACACAUUGUGGAAUAGCUGCCAUACGCGAAACGUGCACGCAUUUAAAUAUAACAUCCAACAAGGAGGACAGCCCACAACAGAGUCUUCCAGCAUGGGCAACAUACACACAACGGGCCCAAAUGAGGCUUUAAUUGUUUCAGGUGAGUUUCUGCCAUAAUUACGCACCAUGGGCAAUUUUCGUAUAUAUAUUAACAUAAACAUACAGCAGGGCGGGGCCAUAAAUACAA